GAUGAACGCUAGCGGCAGGCUUAACACAUGCAAGUCGAGGGGUAUAGGUUUUCGGACCUAGAGACCGGCGCACGGGUGCGUAACGCGUAUGCAAUCUACCUUUCACAGAGGGAUAGCCCAGAGAAAUUUGGAUUAAUACCUCAUAGUAUAGCAGUUUCGCAUGAAACCACUAUUAAAGUAUCAACGGUGAAAGAUGAGCAUGCGUCCCAUUAGCUAGAUGGUAAGGUAACGGCUUACCAUGGCUACGAUGGGUAGGGGGUCCUGAGAGGGAGAUCCACCACACUGGUACUGAGACACGGACCAGACUCCUACGGGAGGCAGCAGUGAGGAAUAUUGGUCAAUGGACGCAAGUCUGAACCAGCCAUGCCGCGUGCAGGAUGACGGUCCUAUGGAUUGUAAACUGCUUUUGUACGAGAAGAAACAACAUUACGUGUAAUGUCUUGACGGUAUCGUAAGAAUAAGGAUCGGCUAACUCCGUGCCAGCCGCCGCAGUAAAAC
rnacentral:rRNA from 1 species